rnacentral:rRNA from 1 species
AGGGUUUGAUUAUGGCUCAGAUUGAACGCUGGCGGCAGGCCUAACACAUGCAAGUCGAGCGGUAGAGAGGUGCUUGCACCUCUUGAGAGCGGCGGACGGGUGAGUAAUGCCUAGGAAUCUGCCUGGUAGUGGGGGAUAACGCUCGGAAACGGACGCUAAUACCGCAUACGUCCUACGGGAGAAAGCAGGGGACCUUCGGGCCUUGCGCUAUCAGAUGAGCCUAGGUCGGAUUAGCUAGUUGGUGGGGUAAUGGCUCACCAAGGCGACGAUCCGUAACUGGUCUGAGAGGAUGAUCAGUCACACUGGAACUGAGACACGGUCCAGACUCCUACGGGAGGCAGCAGUGGGGAAUAUUGGACAAUGGGCGAAAGCCUGAUCCAGCCAUGCCGCGUGUGUGAAGAAGGUCUUCGGAUUGUAAAGCACUUUAAGUUGGGAGGAAGGGCAUUAACCUAAUACGUUAGUGUUUUGACGUUACCGACAGAAUAAGCACCGGCUAACUCUGUGCCAGCAGCCGCGGUAAUACAGAGGGUGCAAGCGUUAAUCGGAAUUACUGGGCGUAAAGCGCGCGUAGGUGGUUCGUUAAGUUGGAUGUGAAAUCCCCGGGCUCAACCUGGGAACUGCAUUCAAAACUGUCGAGCUAGAGUAUGGUAGAGGGUGGUGGAAUUUCCUGUGUAGCGGUGAAAUGCGUAGAUAUAGGAAGGAACACCAGUGGCGAAGGCGACCACCUGGACUGAUACUGACACUGAGGUGCGAAAGCGUGGGGAGCAAACAGGAUUAGAUACCCUGGUAGUCCACGCCGUAAACGAUGUCAACUAGCCGUUGGGAGCCUUGAGCUCUUAGUGGCGCAGCUAACGCAUUAAGUUGACCGCCUGGGGAGUACGGCCGCAAGGUUAAAACUCAAAUGAAUUGACGGGGGCCCGCACAAGCGGUGGAGCAUGUGGUUUAAU